CGGUUUAUUGCAGUUUUUUGUAGUCUCUGUAGAGGCUCAACUCUUUACAGAAGCUGUUUUUAGCACAGGUCAGACUAAAAUACUUAUUAUAUUUUCUCUGGUAACAAGACGAUAUUUGACCAUUUCUUUAUUUGUAAUAUUAUUUUUGUAAUAGAUUUUAUGCUUAAAUGUGAUUCUGAGAAAGCAGCAGCCCAUAGUAACAACUUGACUUCUCCUGUCACUGAAUCCCCUCCGUCCCCACUAACAUAUAAACAAACUGAUCAGAGGGAAAUUCCACAACGGACUGCUGCACAAAAGUGCACUAAAAGUAAUUGGAUACAGCUUGAAGCGCCUCUGCUCCGGCCUCCCGCCCGACUCAGGCUCUGCACAACGAGUGGUUCUCAUUUGAAGAAAUGGUGAAAUACGGUCAGAGAUAGAUUUAAAGAAAGAAAGAAAGAAAGAAAGAAAGAAAGAUAGAAAGAAAGAAAGACAACUGUUCCUUUUCCUCUGCAAAUUUGUAUAGAGCCCAACUCCGUGCGUCUUCUACGGUGGAGUUCUCCCCUCCGCCCCUCCACAUCCUCCCAACGACCUUAUUGUGGCAAAACACCGGCGCUCCUGCAACCUGAGGCCACGAGACGACACAUACCCACGGUGAAGCGUCUCCAACCCAUUGGUGAGAGGCAGGUGAGGUGCUGCAUCACCUGCGGACCCUCAACCAGGGCGUCGGUACCAAACGGAACAUAACCCACCACUGCAAGUUUACUUCUAGCUGCACAAAGCACAACAGCGUCCUCAGAUCCUCCUCUGAUCCUCUCUGCGGGUGAAAACGUUUACCGGAUGACGGCAAGGGUUGAACGCCGAGGAGAUAAUAAAAAGAGCCCCGCGAUGGGGCUGCAGCAGAAAAUAACGGAACGAAGCAACGGCGAAUGCCAGUCGGUUCAAGAGCAAACCGGACGACGGGUGGCAGCACCGAGGAAGACGGCCUGGACGGCGGAGCGAUGUGGGCCAGGAAACAAUAAAGGAGGAAUUUCAAAGAUGAGAUCUGGGGAUGAUGAAGUCAAAGACGUAAGAAUAGAACGGAGAAAAACGGCAGAUGGAGGCUGUGAAGCAGCAGAGCGCACGCGGACUGAAACUGGAGCAGCAGGGACGGACAGAGAGCAGUGAUGUCAGGGAGCUCGGCCAUGACAGCAGCAGGAAGUGGGAGCCUGGUUCUGAGCGACCGGUUGUGCACCAGGCAGCAGACACCGGAGCUCAACGUCAGAGCCGGAGACGAGGAGGUUCGACUGCGGCCAGACGCAUCCACAGCAAUAUUUGAGUCUUUAGACGCCCGUGAAAAGGCCUCAGGAUCAGUUACGGCUCUGGAAUAAUUGAUUGGAGAUGGAGUGAAGACAGGAACGUAGGACGUAGUCUGUUUGGACGCGUAACACGUGCCUCUGUUAUUUUGAAAUCCGUGGUUCUUAUGAACUCUUUUAAUUUCCAAAAAGACAAAUGAAGCAUUCGGACCGAGACGUGCAGUGGUGCGUCUUAAAGGAUCGUGCCUUCAAAAGGUAAAAGACUCUUUCUUGUUUCUUGUCUCCCACGUUUUGCAGCUCAUCUGACCACUUCUUUAAGGUUCAGAUCUUUUACUUCUUUUAGGUAAUUUUCCAUUAAAACAUGAGCCUAAGCGUUCUAUUCUGUGCCUAAUGACGAGCAGACGAGCAGAAAACUGCAGACCUGAUUGUGUAUAUAAACUUAUAUUAUUUUAUUAAUGUUAUUUAUUUGACGACUAAAAAGUUUCAAGAAACCAGGUUUUAGCAGAUUUUAGGAAUAGGAGUUUUCACUGUAUGUUGGAGAAAACCCAUUUGUUUAAGCAGCGUCACUUCAGUUUAAAUCGUUCAACAGCAAGUCAAUAAAAAACUGAUUACUAUUAUAGUUGUAUGAAUAUUUUGUAAACAUAGUUUAGGGAGACGCUUCUGUUAUAAAUACAAAAAUGCUUUUUAUUUUUUCUCUUUUCUAAAAAUAAUUAAUAUUUAAUUUUGUAAUUACCAAGAAUAGGCCUGUUAAUUUUAUAUUUCUUUCUGAGUAUUAGUAUAAUAAAAUAAUACAAAAUAACUAAUCCAGCGUGACUCUCUGACGCUAGCAAUGAUUUAAUUUUCCAUGAAAUCACCAAUAACUUAUUUUGAUUCCUGUCUGAAAGAAACAGGCAAAAAUAAAUUACUGAGCAUUGAAUUAUUGCAGCGACCCCAUAAAUAAUUUAGCCAAAUAUUAUAAUAUUGUAUAAUAAAGUUUUUUAAAUCUUACAAAGAAAAAUACAGAGUAUAUGAUCCAGGCUUUAAUUGUCAUACAAGUUCCAGUUUUCAUAUCUGUAUAAACAUAAGCGUCUAGAGUCUUAUAUUUAGUUUAGUUUCAUAAUUCAAAACCUUAUGUUGUGAUUUGUUACAACAGACUAUUGUGCUUAUGCUUUUAUUUUUAAACACUGAAUUAUCAUAAUCGUGACUUAUUACACGUUGUACUUGCUGCUAUAUUAGUCUGCUGAGCUCCUUUAAAAUUAACAAUUGUAAUUUUCCUUUAGAUGAAGCCGCGUGCACGUCGGAGACAGUUUAACUGAGAUAACGCUUCCAUAUGCAGUUAAUUAAAAUAUUAAUAUUAAUUAAUAAUUCCGUUCAUAUUGUUUCCCUUAGUAUCAUUAUUCCUAUCAGAUAACACAGAGAAAUUUGGAAAAUAAUUGGCUGAUGCACUGACGUUAGAAUAGAACACGUCGUUACUGUGACAGCAGCACUAAUGGUCCCAGUAGUAGCGGUGGUGGUGGUGGUGGUGGAGUCACUAUCAUUAGCAGCAGCAGGAGGACGUGGUGUUUGCGUCUGAGGUCAGAGUCUGUUAACGUUUCUCCUGAUGUAACUUGUGAGAUUUCUGAUUUCUGCUUCCACUUCAUUUUGUUCGACGCAAUAAAAGAGAGAGUGGCAGAAAUAAAAGAAACUAAAGCAGCGCAAAUGACUGAGGUUCAGUUUAAUUGACUCUAUACUCUAGUAGCAGCUAUAACAGGGGCUGGAGGAGGAUUAUUUUAAAAUAAAAUAAUAAAUAAAAAGUUUAAACCGAGCAAAAUGAGCCUUUGACUCCUGAGCUCAGCGACAGAGUGACGUCCAGCUCUGCAUCGCCGCCACUCAGCAUUUAAUGGCUGCAGUCUCUUCACUUCUUCACACAUGGACUAACGGGUCAUCUCAUAAUUAGCUCUAGAGACGAGCGACGGGCCACUGCGUCUGCAAACGAAGGGCUGAGCGGACAUUUCAGCACACUGCGACAAGACAGUGAGUCGGUGAGCGCCACGAGUCUCAUCCGCCAAAUGUGACGCUCCGAGUCGUCACGUCGCACGAGGGAGGCGAGCGUGGCUCCGACGCGGAGCUUUGAUCGCGAACACAUGGCCGCACUUCCUCUGCCGCAGCAGCUGCCCUGCCUUUGUGAGCGAGAGGAGCGGAGGAAGAGCAGAGAGCGCUCCUCGCGACGGAGUGAAACAAAGGAGGGGAGAGGAAACGGCGGAGGAGAGGAGCGAUGGAGAGCUGCCAUAAAGAGGCUCCGGGCUGCAGGCGCCAUCUUGAGACAGCGCCGCACUGUCUCCUGCUGCAUCAGCCCCGUCUGCCUUUCAUGCCUCUCUUCCUGUCUCGCUUUCCCACCUUAACUUUUUACCACAGGGGUAAUUGACCAACUACUUUAUUGGUGGCUGGAGGAAGUGGAGGUGGUUGUACCAGUGCUCUGUAUUACUGAAGUGAGCUUUUAUGGCAGCCUAUUGGCCUUUAUUGCCUAUUGGUGGUCAACAAAAGAUGCCCCAAAGAAAGUCUGCCUCCUUUGUUGUUCUUCCUGUCUGCAUCACUCGCUGUUGACCAGCGUUGUCUUUCUAAUGCAUGCUGCCAGGUUUGCAGGAAUCACCAGAUAAGACUCCUUUCCUUGUUUUUCAGUCCAACCUCUGACAUCAGAGCUGAAUUAAAUUCUCCAGUUUAACCCCCGUGACCUCGGUUUAACUCCAUUCACUGCUUGAGAUAAAAAAAACAAAACCUUCCUAAACUCUUCUUUUUGCAUCAGCGUCACUCCGUUGGAUUUUCAUUAAGCCGAGGAGAAACUACAGCUGAAGGGAUUUUACUUGUUAGAUAUGAUUUGCGGCCGCAGUCUGACCUCCUGCUGCUGGAUCCACUCACAUGCUCUCUAAUCGCUUGAUUAUAUCCAGAGGAGGCAGCGUCCUUCCUAAAAAAUCCCGACUUUAUGGCUUAGGUUUUGUACUCGCGUGACAGUUCAGACUAUAAUUCAGUGAGCAGGGAUCUACAUUUGUCUCUUGGCGAAAAAAAACAUCAUUAUUUUAGAUGUUUGGGUUUUAUGCUGCAAAUGUGAUCAAAACAGCAACGCGCAGAUGCAUUUUGGGCACUAAAGUAAAACCAUAAAAGCAAUGCUUUGGUGUAAAAUCAUAGACAGGAUGAAUUUAUAAUUCAUAUCGUUACUGCGUUGAGACAGAAUGGACGUUAGUGUGAGCUGUGACGUUCUGGAGUCAGUGGAAUGUUGAGAGUAUGUGUAACUUCUCCAACUGUGACUCCUCGAGUUCAGGCUCCUGCAGCUGAAGAGAAGCGUGAUUAUAGAUUUGCAGGGAAGAUAUUCUAUCAUCAUUUUCUAACUCUGUCAUGCAACAUAUGACACUUAUUAGCACAAAGGAAGUUGUGACAUGUGACAUGAGCAGGAAUCCAUUUUCCCAAAGUCAGAGGACCAGAGGUUCAUGCUGAUUGAAGCUGAUCUGCACAGAGCUGGGAGGUGAAAUCCUGAGUUAAACCUGGUUAAUGCACACGUCUGUGUUCUUUAUUCAACAGCAGCGUAGUUCUGUAGUGAGUGUUUGUUGCUGUAGAUGCUGAUUAGAACUAAAAUGAGCCCAUACAUCACACACAUAUCAGGUCUGAGGAGAAUCUACAGCAGAGUUUAUUGAUUGGUGGGGAAUGAUCAGAACAGGUAGAAUGGAUAAAACUCCAUUUAUGGUCAUGUGACUCUAAACCCUGUGUUUUGACUGUCUGCUCAAACAAAUCACACACAACAGCGUUCUCUGCAGCUUUUUGGACCAAGCCUUUUCAGAACUAAGGGUUCAGCUCGUGACACACUGCAGCGCCUCUGGAUUCACCCCGGAGCUGUGUGAUGUAGGUAGUUUCAAGUUGUUGGGCUGGAAGCUUAAGAUCACAGGAACCUGAAACUGCCUGACUCACACCAGCCUGAUGCCCUGAGAGCGUGGAGGAGGAGGCAGCAUCCGGACCAGAGCAAGGCGUCUGCUCAGAGGUCAAAGAUGAGCUGGAGGAAGCGAGGCCCGGUCUCCACGGCGACCGUCCUGCGUGGUGUGUGCCAGCGCGACCACAUCCUCCGACCUCUGCUGCUGCAACAUAUCAUUAAUUAAAAAAAUGUUGCCUCUGAACGUAACCCAGGCAGCGAUUAAGACGCCGCCGCAACGUAAUUGGAAAAACACUUUCGCCCGAGUGGAACUCCACGGAGACAGGGUGGUCGGACGCUGCCAUGGGAACGGAGCCGCUUCAUCCUCUAGACGCGAGAGCUGCUCUCUGUGAAACUCUGUAACCAUGAACUGGAACCCACAGAGACGAUCACAGCUCUCAGUCUUUGUUGCUAAAGUCUCUAGAAGUUUGAAAAGGUCGUCUCAUUCUUCCUGGCGCAUCCUCUCCGUGGGAAACGUCUCUGAACUAUCAUUUUGCAUCUCCACAAAUAUUCCAUGGGCUUCCAGGCUGGGCUCGGGCUGACUCGGGGACAGCGACCGACUUCUCCUAAAAGCAUCAUCAUUGUUGUGCUGAACGCAGAAGCCAUGGUGUGGACUCUGAGCCCGUGUGGUGGCAGCGAUGCUCAUCACGAAGGCGUUUCAGGGCUCAGGUUUUGGAGUCAGUCCGGUCUUUGUCCAAGAGACAAGGGGACGUAGACACACAGCUUCCUGCUGGGUUCAGUCUGGACCUUCUAGGUGUGAGGUGGAACAUUUCCUCCACUGCGCUGCCACUUCAGGUCACAAACAAGACGAAACAUGAACAGAACCUUAUGCAUGAAUAAAGACCAUUCAGUCGGUCAGUACUUGGUUAAAAUCUCAUUUUAAUUGAUGGACAAUAAACUUAUUUGUGUUUAUCUUUAUGUUUAUGUUUAUGUUUAACAGGAGCCAGUGGCGACUAAUAGAUCCGUGUUCUAACUGGCCAAUGUGUCUGCUGAUUGUUUGGACAAUGGUCCAAAUUAGAUAGUGUUGUACAGAAACGCUAGUUUGCUGCUCAGAACCUGUCGGUUCAGUGGACGGAGCCCGUGCACACACUAGAGCUGUGAUGAUGAAUGUUGGCUGCUCCUCUUUAAACACUGCAUGUUUUAUGAAGUUCAGCUGCCACGAGGCUGUAAAUCUGCUUUCUCCCGCUCUCUCCUGUGUCAGCAGCCAAGAGUUUCUGUAUAAUUUGCCGUGCGUUUAAUAGCACAUUAACAUUUAGCUGCUACAGUCCACUGUGCAGGCGUCCGGGCCCUGGAGCUACGAGCUACGAGCUACAAGCUACGAGCUCCCCAGUUCUCCCAGUGUUACUGUGGUUCAUAUCCAGACACUGUAUAAACUUAUGACACACUAACAUUUCAUUAUUAUCUGAAUAAAUACAAUUUGUUUAUACCAGUGUUAAAGCUGUAUCUAUUCCACUGCUUCACAACAUACAAGAGGUUUCUGUUGGUUUAUAUUAUGAACUUAUGUUUUGGGUUUAAAAGGAAUAUCUGUCACAUUCUUGUUAGCAAUCACUGCUAUUGGCUCAUAUUAUUACCGGUUAUAGCCUUAAGCCAAAAGAAAACACAGCCUCUGCAAAUUCUGUUCCAUUGCAUUAUGGGAAAUGUAGGCACUUGUAGGCAGUUUCACAAACAAAGGACACAGCAAAUAAAUAUAAAACCCAAUAAACAGAUAUAAAUGACAAGGACACAGGGAUGUUUAGCUUAGUGGCCUGGUUGUAGUUAAUCACUAAGAGGCCCAGACUUUUAUUUGUUGAUACAGUUCUGUGGUUCAUUGCAAGACAACAACAUACAAAGUUUGGUCCUCCAUUCAUUUGUAUAGUGUGUGUGUGUGUGUGUGUGAGAGCCUUGCUCUAAAAGAAUCCCAUGUACAGGAACUGUAACUAAAUCUAUCGAUCAACGUAACCGCUCUCUCUCAUGCACAAUCCAGCUCCAGCUUCUCUGAGAUCUGUCCAGUAAUCACAGCAGAGUCUGUGCCACACAUUAUUCUGCAGCUCUACCUUCCCUCGCUGUUGCAGGGAGUCGGUUAAUAACUCUCUGCUGACUUCAUUUACAAAGACAACUUUACCAUGUGAGCUCUAAAGAGGCUCAGGGAGAACGCCUGGAGCCUCCUCAAGCUUUUCAGCAGAGAAACGUGAUGCUGUACAUGAUGAACGAGCCCAGACAUGGCUGUUAUGAAAAUAUAUAGCCUGUAUCAAUCACACAGGAUCCAUUACUGUUCGGGUUCUACUGAGCUUUUUGCAUCAGAUCAGAAAACUGUAUAUCUUUACAAAUGAUAUUAAGUGUUUGAAUAUUGAGUCUAAAUUUGACAAUUAAUAAUAUAUGAACACACAGAAUUACGGACAUUUGAUGUUACUGCAUUUCAGGACGUUAAAACGAAUAAUUAUAGCUCCAGCACAGAAAUACUGGCAACCAGAUAAUAGUGUUUGGCAAUUUAAUAGUUAUUAUUAAUAUUUUAGCUCAUGUCACACCCAGUGCAUUUAAAUGAUAACUGUAAUAAACUGGUUAAAUCUUUUGGCCAACAACAAACCUGUAUCACGUUUGUGAUAAAAUUAAAUAAACCGAAUAAUU